rnacentral:rRNA from 1 species
GACGAACGCUGGCGGCGUGCCUAACACAUGCAAGUCGAACGGGGGGAACAUGAAGUAUUUCGGUACGGAAUGCGCCCCUAGUGGCGAACGGGUGAGUAACACGUGGGCAACCUGCCCCAGACUGGGGGAUAACAUUGUGAAAACAGUGCUAAUACCGCAUGACAGGGUUCCGGGCAUCCGGGACCCUUGAAAGGAGAAAUCCGGUCAGGGAUGGGCCCGCGUCCAAUUAGCUAGUUGGCGGGGUAACGCCCACCAAGGCGACGAUUGGUAGCCGAACUGAGAGGUUGAUCGGCCACAUUGGGACUGAGACACGGCCCAGACUCCUACGGGAGGCAGCAGUGGGGAAUAUUGGGCAAUGGGGCGAAAGCCUGACCCAGCGACGCCGCGUGAAGGAUGAAGGUCUUCGGAUUGUAAACUUCUUUGAUCAGGGAAGAAAGAAAUGACGGUACCUGAAAAAACAAGCCACGGCUAACACGUGCCAGCAGCCGCGGUAAAGCUGUAGUCGU